CAGNCGNCUUACCAUGCAGUCGAACGAUGAUCUCCCGCUUGCGGGGGUGAUUAGUGGCGAACGGGUGAGUAAUACGUGAGUAACCUGCCCUUGACUCUGGGAUAAGCCUGGGAAACCGGGUCUAAUACUGGAUACGACCUUUCAUCGCAUGGUGGGGGGUGGAAAGGGUUUGACUGGUUUUGGAUGGGCUCACGGCCUAUCAGCUUGUUGGUGGGGUAAUGGCUCACCAAGGCGACGACGGGUAGCCGGCCUGAGAGGGUGACCGGCCACACUGGGACUGAGACACGGCCCAGACUCCUACGGGAGGCAGCAGA
rnacentral:rRNA from 1 species